AAGAAAGUGGCAGAGCGGUUAUGUGGUUGGCUUGAAACCAACUGAUGGGGGUUCAACUCCCCCCUUUCUCG
rnacentral:tRNA from 1 species